rnacentral:rRNA from 1 species
GACGAACGCUGGCGGCGUGCCUAAUACAUGCAAGUAGAACGCUGAAGGAGGAGCUUGCUCUUCUGGAUGAGUUGCGAACGGGUGAGUAACGCGUAGGUAACCUGCCUGGUAGCGGGGGAUAACUAUUGGAAACGAUAGCUAAUACCGCAUAAGAGUAGAUGUUGCAUGACAUUUGCUUAAAAGGUGCAAUUGCAUCACUACCAGAUGGACCUGCGUUGUAUUAGCUAGUUGGUGGGGUAACGGCUCACCAAGGCGACGAUACAUAGCCGACCUGAGAGGGUGAUCGGCCACACUGGGACUGAGACACGGCCCAGACUCCUACGGGAGGCAGCAGUAGGGAAUCUUCGGCAAUGGACGGAAGUCUGACCGAGCAACGCCGCGUGAGUGAAGAAGGUUUUCGGAUCGUAAAGCUCUGUUAUAAGAGAAGAACGAGUGUGAGAGUGGAAAGUUCACACUGUGACGGUAUCUUACCAGAAAGGGACGGCUAACUACGUGCCAGCAGCCGCGGUAAUACGUAGGUCCCGAGCGUUGUCCGGAUUUAUUGGGCGUAAAGCGAGCGCAGGCGGUUAGAUAAGUCUGAAGUUAAAGGCUGUGGCUUAACCAUAGUACGCUUUGGAAACUGUUUAACUUGAGUGCAAGAGGGGAGAGUGGAAUUCCAUGUGUAGCGGUGAAAUGCGUAGAUAUAUGGAGGAACACCGGUGGCGAAAGCGGCUCUCUGGCUUGUAACUGACGCUGAGGCUCGAAAGCGUGGGGAGCAAACAGG